GGAAGGCCCUGCUUUUGUGGGGUGCUCGAGUGGCGAACGGGUGAGUAACACGUGAGUAACCUGCCCUUGACUUUGGGAUAACUUCAGGAAACUGGGGCUAAUACCGGAUAGGAGCUCCUGCUGCAUGGUGGGGGUUGGAAAGUUUCGGCGGUUGGGGAUGGACUCGCGGCUUAUCAGCUUGUUGGUGGGGUAGUGGCUUACCAAGGCUUUGACGGGUAGCCGGCCUGAGAGGGUGACCGGCCACAUUGGGACUGAGAUACGGCCCAGACUCCUACGGGAGGCAGCAGUGGGGAAUAUUGCACAAUGGGCGGAAGCCUGAUGCAGCAACGCCGCGUGCGGGAUGACGGCCUUCGGGUUGUAAACCGCUUUCGCCUGUGACGAAGCGUGAGUGACGGUAAUGGGUAAAGAAGCACCGGCUAACUACGUGCCAGCAGCCGCGGUGAUACGUAGGGUGCGAGCGUUGUCCGGGAUUUAUUGGGGCGUAAAGGGCUCGUAGGUGGUU
rnacentral:rRNA from 1 species